UUUGGGUCACAGCGCUGACCGUACAAACAACCCAACAUGAUCUCCUGCCAGCCCUCGCCUGUGGCACACCUGUGGACAGCCGGUGAGACAGUAGAGUCCGCCCUGAGCGGCGAGCGCCGUCUGGAGAGAGAUAACCAGAGAAGAAGAGUCACAGCCAACGCCAGCGACACAACAGACACAUGGUGUUGAGCAUGAUGAGGAGGAACAUCAGGUACUCGAAGUAGCACGAGGUGACGAUGUACCACACCUGAUACUGAUACGGGU